rnacentral:rRNA from 1 species
GAUUGAACGUGCUUGCACGGACUUGACGUUGGUUUACCAGCGAGUGGCGGACGGGUGAGUAACACGUAGGUAACCUGCCCCAAAGCGGGGGAUAACAUUUGGAAACAGAUGCUAAUACCGCAUAACAAUUUGAAUCGCAUGAUUCAAAUUUAAAAGAUGGCUUCGGCUAUCACUUUGGGAUGGACCUGCGGCGCAUCAGCUUGUUGGUAGGGUAACGGCCUACCAAGGCUGUGAUGCGUAGCCGAGUUGAGAGACUGAUCGGCCACAAUGGAACUGAGACACGGUCCAUACUCCUACGGGAGGCAGCAGUAGGGAAUCUUCCACAAUGGGCGCAAGCCUGAUGGAGCAACACCGCGUGAGUGAAGAAGGGUUUCGGCUCGUAAAGCUCUGUUGUUAGAGAAGAACGUGCGUGAGAGCAACUGUUCACGCAGUGACGGUAUCUAACCAGAAAGUCACGGCUAACUACGUGCCAGCAGCCGCGGUAAUACGUAGGUGGCAAGCGUUAUCCGGAUUUAUUGGGCGUAAAGCGAGCGCAGGCGGUUUGAUAAGUCUGAUGUGAAAGCCUUUGGCUUAACCAAAGAAGUGCAUCGGAAACUGUCAGACUUGAGUGCAGAAGAGGACAGUGGAACUCCAUGUGUAGCGGUGGAAUGCGUAGAUAUAUGGAAGAACACCAGUGGCGCAGGCGGCUGUCUGGUCUGCAACUGACGCUGAGGCUCGAAAGC